AACGCAUAUUGCGCCCAACCUUUCGGGGAAGGGCAUGUCUGCCUCAGCGUCGGUUUAUACCCUCACCCCAACUACAUUGUGUAGUGAUUGAGCAAUUAAUCAAGGGGUGGAUCUGGCCUCCCCAAACUGCGUAUGCAGGUUGGGUUGGCUGAAGUGGAGAGGCUAGAGCUAGGACCCAUUGGGCCUCAACUGGAUAGGUAGCACCAGCCUCGGCUGAUCUACACGAAGUUGUGGCUGUGGUCUUUGCUGGCGGCCAGCAGGAAAGCGCUUAGGCGCUUCUUAAACAUUCGACCUGAGCUCAGGCAAGACUACCCGCUGAACUUAA
rnacentral:misc_RNA from 1 species